AUUGAACGCUGGCGGCAGGCCUAACACAUGCAAGUCGAGCGGAUGAAGGGAGCUUGCUCCUGGAUUCAGCGGCGGACGGGUGAGUAAUGCCUAGGAAUCUGCCUGGUAGUGGGGGAUAACGUCCGGAAACGGGCGCUAAUACCGCAUACGUCCUGAGGGAGAAAGUGGGGGAUCUUCGGACCUCACGCUAUCAGAUGAGCCUAGGUCGGAUUAGCUAGUUGGUGGGGUAAAGACCUACCAAGGCGACGAUCCGUAACUGGUCUGAGAGGAUGAUCAGUCACACUGGAACUGAGACACGGUCAAGACUACUAAGGGAGGCAGCAGUGGGGAAUAUUAGACAAUGGGAGAAAGCCUGAUCCAGCCAUGCCGCGUGUGUGAAGAAGGUCUUCGGAUUGUAAAGCACUUUAAGUUGGGAGAAAGGGCAGUAAGUUAAUACCUUGCUGUUUUGACGUUACCAACAGAAUAAGCACCGGCUAACUUCGUG
rnacentral:rRNA from 1 species